CAUCAAUCCGUCACUUCAUGCUAACCUUGAGUUCAGAGUUUCACACCAAAAUCCCAAUUUCGAUUCCCCUUCUCCUCUCUAGGGUUUUCGCCGACUCCGACGCCUCCUUCUCACUCCAUCGCCGCCGUCCAUCUGCCGAACACUCUCGCCGGAAUCUUGCCAAGGUACAUCCCUCUCUCAAUCCCCGCCUCCGUCUCUAAAGUUGGUUCCGCCAUGAAUGACCAUAGAAUUGCUGCAAUUGAAUUGAAAUCUGAGGAAGGACUGGAUUAUUUCCCUCAAGAAAUCAUCUCCAAUAUCCUAAUUAGAUUACCUAUUAAGUCUUUGAUCAAAUGCACCUCCGUCUGCAAGUCUUGGAAAUCUUUGAUCCAAAACCCUAGCUUUAUUGAUGCACAUCUUAGCCAGUGUCAGUUGUAAUAACCAGAAUGGCACUCACCUCCUGCUAGUCCACAGUGUUUGUAGUAAAAGAUUUUGCAGCUUAUUCGACAGAGAUUUCGUUAGAGGUGAAAAGGAAGACGUUUACUCUUUGUACUAUGAUAACCAUGGUUUUGAUGAGUACUGCAAGAUUGAAUUGCUUAGUGAUCUUGAGGAAAUUAUGCUCAAUUAUGCUCAAUUUUCCUAGUGAUUGAAUUGCAAGAUUGUAAUGGACUAGUAUGCCUUGUGGAUGAAUUAGGGUGUCAUGGUUACAACUUGAUCAUAUGGAAUCCUUGUAUAAGAAAAUUUGUAGACCUUCCUGAACCUGCUGUGCUGCGAGGUGGUUGUGAUGCCUCUAUUGGCUUUGGUUAUGAUGCCAUAAGCAAUGACUAUAAGGUUGUGAGACUUGUCUCGCUUUCGGAUCAAUAUCAGAAUUUCCAUGGGUGGCCAACUCUAUUUCAGGUUUAUUCACUGGCCACAGGCUCGUGGAGCAGGCUUUGUUCUGAUCUUCCUCAGUGUCAAAUGUUUUGCUCCCCAGCCCAGGCUUUUGUAAAUGGGGCACUUCACUGGUCUGCAAUCCACCGGACAAAUGAUACUUUCAACUAUUUUGUUCUGGCUUUUUAUGUGGGCAGUGAGUGGUUUCGAGAGAUAAUGUUUCCAAAGAGUCUGAAAUGGGAUCCGACGUUGGCAUUGAGAAUAUCUGUUUCUGGAGAUGGGAAAUCCAUUGCUGUCUUCACUGAUUGGCGCAAGAGUCAUACCGAUUAUUUUCUUGAUAUAUGGGUACUGAAAGAGUACUGCAUGGAGAAUUCGUGGACCAAAUUGAUGAUUCUCAGUGCAGAAGUUCCACAACGAAAUUUACCCAAGGCAAUGUGUUUCAGGAAGAUAGGUGAAGUGUUGGUACUUGAAGAUAGCUAUGAACUAGUUUCACUUGACAUUAUGAGCAGAAAAGUUAAAAUUCUUGGGGUUUAUGGAGUUUAGCAGUUGGUUCUGUACUUAGCUUCUGGUUGUUUUGUUGCCAAGUUAAUGUUGGUCAGGUAUGCUCUGUUGACUCUUAUUAAGAGAGCAUUGUCUUGCAGAACAAAAAACAUGCAGCUUGUUACUGAGGGAAAGAAUAGGGAGAUAUGAGGGAGUAAAUGACUGUAGUAGUAUACUUAAUGCGAUAAUUCAAGCAGAUAUCAAUCACAUGCUGCUCAAGUUAAACUGUUAAAGUUACUCAGCUGCAUCCAAAUUUGGAACUUUUUGGAGUCUGGAGAAUUGGCUGGAAUCUUGUCUUUGCUACUCAAGAAUCUUUCAUUAUUAUGUCUUUGCUUUUCCAUAUUCAGUUGACAAGAAAAAGUAAAUUUGCGAAACACGAUUCAGCUUUCUUAAUGACCAAUGGCAAUAAAAUGAAAUUGAUACUACCACAAUGUAUUCUAUUUUCUAUUGCAUAUGAGGGACAAUGGUAAUGAUACUGAGAA